UACAGAGGUCUCAAGCGUUGUUCGGAUUCAUUGGGCGUAAAGGGUGCGUAGGCGGCGCGGUAAGUCGGGUGUGAAAUCUUGGAGCUUAACUCCGAAACUGCAUUCGAUACUACCGUGCUUGAGGACUGGAGAGGAGACUGGAAUUUACGGUGUAGCGGUGAAAUGCGUAGAUAUCGUAAGGAAGACCAGUGGCGAAGGCGGGUCUCUGGACAGUUCCUGACGCUGAGGCACGAAGGCCAGGGGAGCAAACGGG
rnacentral:rRNA from 1 species